rnacentral:lncRNA from 1 species
UUUGUAGUUAGUUAAUAUGCUAGUAUUGAGCUAGUUAGUGAUUUUUUUGUUUAGUCCACAUUAUUAAGGCAACACGUAUCUAUCGCCAGCCUGCUAACCAGCGGAGUGUAGCUGCUUAAACUUAAACUAAACUUCGUAGGAGCGAAAAAAGGCUGUUAAAUUGGCCGUAAUCUUUCUGUUUAGGAGGCUUCUCUUUGUUUGCUGUGGUCUUCUUUCGCUAACGUAACGUAGUUAGGUUUCUUUACUGCCUCUCUCGGUUUGGGCUCCCCCUCUCCUUUUUUUGUCAGUUUGAAGGCACAUCAAAUGGCGACGAACUGUUAACGUCCCCGGGUUAGCCUAUUAUUUCGACGCGGAGGAGAAGUGUAAUCUCAGGGACGGCGUGCAGAAGAAACUCGCUGGCCGCAGGGCAAAGCUCCGUCAUAUCUUAUCCAGCCUGCUGUAAUCUUUUGCAGAAGUUAAAGCCAUUAAAACGGAAAGUGGUGCUUAAAAUGGCGAAAACUUGUUCACACAGUCCCUGAUUCACCUGGGUUCUUUCAAACAGCUUCUCAAUCAGAGGCUGACCCCAGAGUUCACAGCUGUAAUUGAGAAGUCUCACAGGCACGUGCACACGGGGGCCCAGGAGAGACCACCGCCGCCGCAGUGAGGCCGCUACCUCUCCAGAAAGAGGCAGUGAAAGGUAUGUGGAAAAAAUAUUUAAAACGUAUGAUAAAAUUAUUAUUUUUUUUAUCUUUCUUUUUUAGUAAUGCCUUAUGUUUCACUUAACCUCUUUAUAUGAAAUAUUCAGCACUACAAAAUGCAGGCAAAUGCCACACAUUCACCCUUGAUGCUGAACAUUAAAAGUUAAUUAGAUGCUCACCCUUAAAGUUUUAUAGCUG